ensembl:lncRNA
UCUCUUUCUGGAGAUCCCUUCUUGGUGAAGCUUUCCCCUGUGAACCUGGAAUCUUCUGAUAUGGGCAAAGCAAUGUGUUGCUGAGAAGCCGUGCCUCCUUUUCCUGAUGAGCCUCCAAACCUCCUGUGCUGCGAGUCAGUGAUGAAAUAACCAUCGUCUGCCUGAAGCUUUUAGUGCUGAACGUGAAAAGUUCUCUGGGCUGCCAGCAGGUGGGACCUGUGAUCAAACAGAAUAUAACAACUUGCACCUGGAUUGCAAGCAGUGCUCUGAGCUGUCAAUAAGGAACAGGAAUGAGCUGAGAUACAAAGGAUCUGUCAGAAAGCAGAUUGUAUCAGAAACAUAAUAGAAUAAAGUUAAUUUAUGGCGAGGAGAUUUCACAACAGACAACGAGGCAAUACUGAAAACCACAGUCCAAUGUAAUCCCUUUGAAGCAACGUUGUACUUAUUACAGCUGUGAUGAUUACAAAUGUUUGGUUUGAAAGGCUGUGUUGCAGACUGGAGGAAAAAACCCAGCCCAUUUAUGGGCUCCAGAUUUUAAAGAUGGGAGCUAAGGAAAAUAAAGCCGUAGACAUAUGAGCUCAAGCUUAAUAUUUCCAACUUCGUCUAAGAAGGGAUGGUUUGAAGACAGACCUGCCAGCCUGAAUGAAGGAGAUUUGGAUGUGUCAACGUCUUGUUGGGUUUUCAGGAUUUUUUUGGUCUGCAGUUAAGAUGAAAAAGCCAAAAUAACCGUCUCACCCUGAAUAAGGAGUUCUGACUCAGUAGUGCCAAACAGUAUAAUGCCUCUGAAGAGGGCUAAACUGUCUCAAAACAAAUGAUUCCAUUUGCAGUGUUCGUCUUGACUUGGAAAAGCAGGGUUUUAAACUCAAGGAAGCAGCUAGGUCUGGAAUACUUUGCUUCAAACUGGAAAGCAAAACCUUGCAUUUGGAAAUGAUGCUUUUGGUUUCCUGGAGGAGUUUUGCUUUUCUAAAUUUUGACUUUUUCUUCUUGUUUGGCAACAGGAGGAGGAAAAGACUACCUGGACUGAAUAAUAAUUUUCUGGUGGAGGGAAGGAGAGUAAUGAAAACUUGUAAUGCAAAGAUAUGACAGCGCAGCGAUAGUUCUUUUACCCCUCAGCAAAGCAAGUGAGGAGCAACCAGAGCAGUCUUUAUACCUUGCUGCCUUGUCUCUUCUGCAAGUUUCUGGCAUUCUGGCUUGGCAGAGGGCAAAUGUCUCCUUUGCUGUAUCCAAAUGGUUGAAGCCCAUGCUGGCUUUCAAGCAUCUUCAAACAGAGCGGGGUCUUGUAGUGGCCCCAUGUGUUUUGAAGGAUGUUUCUGCCCCUGACUCAUCCAGCAGAGAAAGCAGGAAAGGGUAAUGCUUCCCAGCACCUGUAUCCUCCCUAUCCAGUGUGCUGUGUUCCUUAAAACUCAAAAUAAAUGAUCUGCAGCUGAAGUAUUUGUUUUUAAAGGGCUGACUCCCUUGGUCCUUUCAUGCUGUCAGGGUUGCCUGUGCCUGCCAGCCCUGAGCGUGGGCAUCGGCCACAGCGUGCUUAGCACUGAACCCCCCCGGCUUAAUGACAAGUUCUCACUUUGUUUGUUGUUGUUUGUUGUUGUUUGUUUUGUUUUGGUUUUUUUCCCCUUCCAGCCCAGCUGACAUUUAAUUCUGCCUCGGCUGGUUAAAUAUAACCCUGAAACCCGCGGGUGAGAAAAUGUGGCUCUGUCACGC